rnacentral:rRNA from 1 species
UACGGAAGGCAGCAGUGGGGAAUAUUGCACAAUGGGCGCAAGCCUGAUGCAGCCAUGCCGCGUGUAUGAAGAAGGCCUUCGGGUUGUAAAGUACUUUCAGCGGGGAGGAAGGCGGUGAAGUUAAUAGCUUCACCGAUUGACGUUACCCGCAGAAGAAGCACCGGCUAACUCCGUGCCAGCAGCCGCGGUAAUACGGAGGGUGCAAGCGUUAAUCGGAAUUACUGGGCGUAAAGCGCACGCAGGCGGUCUGUCAAGUCGGAUGUGAAAUCCCCGGGCUUAACCUGGGAACUGCAUUCGAAACUGGCAGGCUAGAGUCUUGUAGAGGGGGUGAAUUCCAGGUGUAGCGGUGAAAUGCGUAGAGAUCUGGAGGAAUACCGGUGGCGAAGGCGGCCCCUGGGACAAAGCUGACGCUCAGGUGCGAAAGCGUGGGGAGCAAACGAGGAUUAGGAUACC